rnacentral:rRNA from 1 species
CGCUAAAGGGAUGGACCUGCGAUGCAUUAGCUAGUUGGUAAGGUAACAGCUUACCAAGGCGAUGAUGCAUAGCCCGAGUUGAGAGACUGAUCGGCCACAUUGGGACUGAGACACGGCCCAAACUCCUACGGGAGGCAGCAGUAGGGAAUCUUCCACAAUGGACGAAAGUCUGAUGGAGCAACGCCGCGUGAGUGAAGAAAGGUUUUCGGAUCGUAAAGCUCUGUUGUUGGUGAAGAAGGAUAGAGGUAGUAACUGGCCUUUAUUUGACGGUAAUCAACCAGAAAGUCACGGCUAACUACGUGCCAGCAUCCGCGGUAAU